rnacentral:rRNA from 1 species
ACGGAACGUGGCGGCAGGCUUAACACAUGCAAAGUCGAACGCCCCGCAAGGGGAGUGGCAGACGGGUGAGUAACGCGUGGGAACAUACCCUUUCCUGCGGAAUAGCUCCGGGAAACUGGAAUUAAUACCGCAUACGCCCUACGGGGGAAAGAUUUAUCGGGGAAGGAUUGGCCCGCGUUGGAUUAGNUAGUUGGUGGGGUAAAGGCCUACCAAGGCGACGAUCCAUAGCUGGUCUGAGAGGAUGAUCAGCCACAUUGGGACUGAGACACGGCCCAAACUCCUACGGGAGGCAGCAGUGGGGAAUAUUGGACAAUGGGCGCAAGCCUGAUCCAGCCAUGCCGCGUGAGUGAUGAAGGCCUUAGGGUUGUAAAGUCUUUCACCGGAGAAGAUAAUGACGGUAUC